ACUCCCAUGACCCUUUACGCUCCUAUAGAUUCACAUCUGUUCUAAUAUUUGCAUUCCGCUACCCUAUUGCGCCCGGCUAUGCACUUGCACUAUUCCGCCACUAGGUGUCUCCCUUCCCCAGACGUUCGGUGUCCUCACAUUUUCCUGCCUGCGACGUGAUCCCUUUCUCAAUGAAAAGCCGUCUCUAGGCUGCAAUGACAGUUUCAUCCCCAAAGCAACAGCAAACGGUGAGCGAUCGAUCCCACCUCCAGCCGGCCAAGCCAACCCUACCUGGGCCGACCUGUCCCCACCUGAGCCAGUGCCAAGCCGGCAGUAUGUGCCCCUAACGCUGCAGCGGAGGAUCUCCCGGGGGGCCGGCAACCUGACUGCCAAUGAGUCGCAACGUUCCGGAGCUGUGACCCAGAGGGGUUGGAUCCCCUGGGGUAGAUGUGCGAUCCCCCCACUGAUGGCUCCGGCGGGGACUGUGGGAGAUGAGGGGCGGUGCAUUGGGUGCAUAGGCAGAGGCUGGCAGGGGUGCCCGACAGCUGCAAUGCCAUGGGCAAGGUGGGCAUCGCUGCUCCUCUUUGUGGCUGUGAUGGCAGCUCUGCAGAUGCCCGUACGGGCCAUGGAAGGCUGCUGAAUAUGCUCCGGAAAAGGUGAAGAAAGCGGAAAAGAAAUUGGAAGACAAUCCGUAUGACCUUGAUGCAUGGAGCAUUCUCAUUCGCGAGGCACAGGUUUAGUGACAUAGGGUUACAUUAUGUAUUCUCUUGAGUACCAAAGGUGGCUGUAUUCAGGAGAUUCUAAAAUGUUCCCACACAGUCAUAAUAUUGUAAAUGCUGUUUAUUUCAAUUUUAGUAUCAGCCUAUAGACAAAGCACGGAAGACAUAUGAGCGACUUGUUGCCCAGUUCCCGAGCUCUGGCAGAUUCUGGAAACUUUACAUUGAAGCAGAGGUUAAUAUUUUCAUUUUUUUUUCUUACUAAUUGAUUUUUUUAUUUCACAAACAUGUUCUAGGUCUGAGUUGAGAAAUAACUGGUAGGACACUAUAUUAGUUAAUGUUCCUUACCUUGUAAUCUGGGGCUGAAAUUGCAAGCGCUGACUUUUAAGGUGUUUAACCGCAGCGAUGUUUGUUGCAUAGUGUUUUUGCAACAACAUUAAAACAUUUUAAUGGUAUGGAGGGCUUUAGACUUUUAUUUAUUUGUCGUGUCAAUUUAUUGCCUCCUGUGUCGUUUAUUUAGUACCGGUAAUUCAUUUCCUCUGUAUUUACCCCAACUGACUAAUUUGAAUGGUAUCCUAAGUCUAUUAGCCUUAACAAUAAAAUGGCAUGAUGUUCAAAUGUUUCUGGGUGGGUUUUGUUUUAACAUACUUAAAUAUUUUUAAGGUCUUAACAUAUAGAACAUGCACUUACAAAAGAACAAUUAUAGGAAAGAAAUGUUAUCGGCAUAAUUUAUUAUUUGCAGCAACCAUUCUUGGAACAGGACAAAUGUGUGGCUUACGGUGCAUAGAAUUACACUGCAAAUGUAGACAAUUAAAAAUGAUUGUAUGCACAAUAUUGAAAACAUGUUUGUAUACUUGAUUAAUGCAGUUAACUAUACGACUCAUAAUAAAACCACAGAGGCAGAAAAUCUGGGAA